GUGGAUUAGAUACCCUGGUAGUCCACGCCGUAAACGUUGGGCGCUAGGUGUCGGGGACCUUCCACGUCCUCGGUGCCGCAGCUAACGCAUUAAGCGCCCCGCCUGGGGAGUACGGCCGCAAGGCUAAAACUCAAAGGAAUUGACGGGGGCCCGCACAAGCGGCGGAGCAUGUGGCUUAAUUCGACGCAACGCGAAGAACCUUACCUGGGUUUGACAUGCAGGGAAAUCCCAUAGAGAUAUGGGGUCCGCAAGGGUCCUGCACAGGUGGUGCACGGCCGUCGUCAACU
rnacentral:rRNA from 1 species